rnacentral:rRNA from 1 species
UAGGGAAUCUUCGGCAAUGGGGGGAACCCUGACCGAGCAACGCCGCGUGAGUGAAGAAGGUUUUCGGAUCGUAAAGCUCUGUUGUUAAGGAAGAACGAGUGUGAGAAUGGAAAGUUCAUACUGUGACGGUACUUAACCAGAAAGGGACGGCUAACUACGUGCCAGCAGCCGCGGUAAUACGUAGGUCCCGAGCGUUGUCCGGAUUUAUUGGGCGUAAAGCGAGCGCAGGCGGUUAGAUAAGUCUGAAGUUAAAGGCAGUGGCUCAACCAUUGUAGGCUUUGGAAACUGUUUAACUUGAGUGCAGAAGGGGAGAGGGGAAUUCCAUGUGUAGCGGUGAAAUGCGUAGAUAUAUGGAGGAACACCGGUGGCGAAAGCGGCUCUCUGGUCUGUAACUGACGCUGAGGCUCGAAAGCGUGGGGAGCGAACAGG